UUAUUUUUAUUUUAUUUUUAUUUUAUUUUUUGAUUUUUGAAAUAAAAAUAUAUCUAUGUCCUUUCUAAGGUUCUAAACUAUAUCUGUACCAAAUUUCAACCAAAUCCGUCAAAUAGUUGCGGAGAUUAAUGGUAUAAGCAUAGAAUGUUCGACGUGAUUCUUUAAUUUGACAUAACUUUUUUAUUUAUGAACCGAUUGACAUGAAACAAACACUAAAUGUAAAUUUAAGCAUCCCACAAUAUAUUCGUGAAAACCGCAUCCAACUCGGAUCAGCCGUUUCUGAGAUUAGCGCGCACAGACGAACAGACAAACAGACAAA